ACAAGUGGCGGACGGGUGAGUAACGCGUGGGAAUCUGCCUACUAGCGGGGGAUAGCCCGGAGAAAUCCGGAUUAAUACCGCAUACGCCCUACGGGGGAAAGCUGGGGAUCUUCGGACCUGGCACUAGUAGAUGAGCCCGCGUUGGAUUAGCUUGUUGGUGGGGUAAAGGCCUACCAAGGCAACGAUCCAUAGCUGUUCUGAGAGGAAGAUCAGCCACACUGGGACUGAGACACGGCCCAG
rnacentral:rRNA from 1 species